UACGGGAGGCAGCAGUGGGGAAUUUUCCGCAAUGGGCGAAAGCCUGACGGAGUGACGCCGCGUGGGGGACGAAGGCCUUCGGGUUGUAAACCCCUGUCAGAGGGAAAGAAGGGCGCCGGCAUUAAUACCGCCGGCGUCUGACGGUACCUUCAGAGGAAGCCCCGGCCAACUCUGUGCCAGCAGCCGCGGUAAGACAGAGGGGGCAAGCGUUGCUCGGAAUCACUGGGCGUAAAGGGCGCGUAGGCGGGAUGGCAAGUCAGUCGUGAAAUCUCUCGGCUCAACCGAGAAACGUCGGCUGAUACUGCCGUUCUUGAGGGAUGCAGAGGAGACUGGAAUUCCCGGUGUAGCGGUGAAAUGUGUAGAGAUCGGGAGGAACACCGGUGGCGAAGGCGGGUCUCUGGGCAUUUCC
rnacentral:rRNA from 1 species